UCUAUUUAUACUUGUAGACUCCUAGGGUUUCACCUUUAAACCCUAGCUGGAUAAUCUUUCCUUAAAGCAAUCCAAAUCNAGAAAUCGGCCAGGGUUUCUUUGCUUUAGCAGAGGUGCCGAUUUCCCUUGCCCUAGGGGUCUAUUUAUACUUGUAAGGCUCCUAGGGUUUCACCCUUAAACCCUAGUUGGAUAAUCUUUCCUUAAAGCAAUCCAAUUCCUUCCCUAAGAUAAGCCUUGGAUGAAUUUGAGGCUAUCCCAAGCCCUAGAAUUCGUCCAUCCUCUAUCCAAGAAGGAUUUACAGCCCAAAGUGUAACUAUCAAACAAUUGACACUUUAUACCCUCUUAUUUAAUUAAUCUCUUUAAGUCACCAAAUUAAUACUAAUUAAUCUAUGACUUAUAUUAAUCAAAUAACAAUAUUAUUAUUCCUUAUAUUAUUCUCAUAAUAUAUAAAUAAUAUUUAUUCUCUCAUAAUAAAUCAUCCUAUCAAGUUGCUAUGGUGAAGGCAACCCAAAAGGACCAUGCACAAUCAGGUCAAAUACUUGCCUAAUAUAGUUGCAGCCUUAUACACUAUUCCAACAAUUAUCUCAUGUAUUCAAAACUGGCUUGUAACCCCUCUUUAUAUAGGGAGAUGAUUUGAAACGCUAAGGAUAAUUACCAAAUAUAUUUUUAAUUAUCAUGACUUUUCAAAUCUAUUUGGAAUACUCAAAAUUCAUUAGAUUUCUAAUUAAUUAAUUAAACUAUUAAUUAAUUAACAAAACAGGUUCCUAAUAUAAAUAUCUUUCCAGUAAUGCAUUUUUUGCUCUUGUGUGUAACCCCAAAGGAUACUACUAUUUAUAGUAAUAUUACCGGUUUGUUUUAGCUAUGGGCACUAAU
rnacentral:lncRNA from 1 species